rnacentral:miRNA from 1 species
GCCCUUCCAGUUGGCGAGGUACAUGCCUUGUUGACUGGAAGGGCUUCCUUCCAGCAGGCAAGGUACAUGUACCUCACCAACUGGAAGGAAGCCCUUCCAGCCGGUGAGGUACAUCCUUGCCAACUGGAAGGAC